CACGCCUGUGUCGGGGCGGCAGCACAAGCCCGGAGGGCGGGGGGCCUCUACCAGGGUUUAAACUUCCCGAGCCUCCAUGUCCUCAGGGCUCAAACAGGACCGGUCACACCCGCCUGCCGGGGAGUCCCUCGGCCCAGGUGUGUGCCUCCCUGGGGAGCCCUGGCUCGCAGAAGGAGCUGGGAAAGGCAACUAUUGCUGUCACACAGCUCACACCUGCCCACUCCCCACACGAUCACACAUGCACACAGGUGCACAGCCUUACCCGUGCUCACACACACACACACACACACACACACACACGUUCACCUGGGCAUGCAGGUGCACCCCUUUACCUGUGCUCACACACGCACACACAUGCACACACACAUUCACCCUGCAUGCAGGCUCACUCCCCACCCCUGUUCACACACACACACACAUGCACACACACAUUGAUCCUGCAGGCAGGUGCACCCCUUUACCCGUGUUCACACACGCACACAUGCACACACACAUUCACCCUGCAUACAGGCUCACCCCCCACCCCUGUUCACACACACACACACACACACAUGCACACACACAUUCACCCCACACGCAGGCUCACCCCUCACCCCUGCUCACACGCACACAUCUCAGCAGCCUACACCAGGGCAGCAGAGGAGCCGGCCGGAGCCGAGGCUUUGCAGGGAGGUUUGGGAGACACGAGACCGAGUCAAGUUCACGGGAACCUGAGUCUGUCUCCAGGCUGAGGGGGUGCAGGGGCUGGCCCUGGGGGUGCAGGGGCUGAGCGACAGGAGUGGUCCCUCUUGUGUGGCUGCCCCCCACCCAGCCCCAGUCUCUGGGCCUAGCGGCAAGAGCGCUCUCCACAGGCUGUGCCCGGCUUCCCCACACACCCCCGCCGCAAGGCCGGCUCCCUGACAGCGUGGGCCUGCAGAAACCCUCUGCCGUGGGCCUGGAGCUGCCCCUCCCUUGGCGUCUCCCGUAGUUAGAAGCCCGGGCCAGGGUUGCAGCUGCUGCCGCCUUGGCGCACCUGUGCCUCCAGCUCGCGGCCGG
rnacentral:lncRNA from 1 species